UGGGGAAUUUUGGACAAUGGGCGAAAGCCUGAUCCAGCAAUGCCGCGUGUGUGAAGAAGGCCUUCGGGUUGUAAAGCACUUUUGUCCGGAAAGAAAUCCUUGGCUCUAAUACAGUCGGGGGAUGACGGUACCGGAAGAAUAAGCACCGGCUAACUACGUGCCAGCAGCCGCGGUAAUACGUAGGGUGCAAGCGUUAAUCGGAAUUACUGGGCGUAAAGCGUGCGCAGGCGGUUUGCUAAGACCGAUGUGAAAUCCCCGGGCUCAACCUGGGAACUGCAUUGGUGACUGGCAGGCUAGAGUAUGGCAGAGGGGGGUAGAAUUCCACGUGUAGCAGUGAAAUGCGUAGAGAUGUGGAGGAAUACCGAUGGCGAAGGCAGCCCCCUGGGCCAAUACUGACGCUCAUGCACGAAAGCGUGGGGAGCAAACAGGAUUAGAUACCCCUGGUAGUCCACGCCCUAAACGAUGUCAACUAGUUGUUGGGGAUUCAUUUCCUUAGUAACGUAGCUAACGCGUGAAGUUGACCGCCUGGGGGAGUACGGUCGCAAGAUUAAAACUCAAAUGAAUUGACGGGGUCAUAGCUGUUU
rnacentral:rRNA from 1 species